rnacentral:rRNA from 1 species
UACGUAGGGUGCGAGCGUUGUCCGGAAUUAUUGGGCGUAAAGAGCUUGUAGGCGGUUUGUCGCGUCUGCCGUGAAAGUCCGAGGCUCAACUUCGGAUCUGCGGUGGGUACGGGCAGACUAGAGUGAUGUAGGGGAGACUGGAAUUCCUGGUGUAGCGGUGAAAUGCGCAGAUAUCAGGAGGAACACCGAUGGCGAAGGCAGGUCUCUGGGCAUCUACUGACGCUGAGGAGCGAAAGCAUGGGGAGCGAACAGG